rnacentral:rRNA from 1 species
UGGGGAAUAUUGCACAAUGGGCGCAAGCCUGAUGCAGCCAUGCCGCGUGUAUGAAGAAGGCCUUCGGGUUGUAAAGUACUUUCAGCGGGGAGGAAGGGAGUAAAGUUAAUACCUUUGCUCAUUGACGUUACCCGCAGAAGAAGCACCGGCUAACUCCGUGCCAGCAGCCGCAGUAAUACGGAGGGUGCAAGCGUUAAUCGGAAUUACUGGGCGUAAAGCGCACGCAGGCGGUUUGUUAAGUCAGAUGUGAAAUCCCCGGGCUCAACCUGGGAACUGCAUCUGAUACUGGCAAGCUUGAGUCUCGUAGAGGGGGGUAGAAUUCCAGGUGUAGCGGUGAAAUGCGUAGAGAUCUGGAGGAAUACCGGUGGCGAAGGCGGCCCCCUGGACGAAGACUGACGCUCAGGUGCGAAAGCGUGGGGAGCAAACAGG